CGGAAGAAGAAGGUGUGCCCCGUAGGUUCCCACCAGACUGCAGUGUCGAUGCUGUCGUAGGGGAUGCCCUGCCCGUAGGUGGACAGGGGCUGGGGGUACCCAGCUUCCAGGUUGGCUUCACGGAAGAGCCAGUACCGGUUGCCUUUAAAGAAGACAAAUCUCCCGUCGUGCCUCUCGUAGGCAGCGUCGAUGUCCCCAGGCAGUCCCCGCCAGAAGUGCCCGAUGGGCAUGGGGUAGUUGUCCAGCACCCGAUUGUGCCGGACCCGCCAGAACCACUUGCCCUUGAACACAAACAUCUCUCCCCGCAGCACUGCCACUGUGUCAAAGUUCCCAUCACAGAUGUCGGGGCCGUACUGGUCAGGUCGGUCUGGGUUGCCAGGUUUUGGGGGCCGCUCUGGUUUCCCUGGCGGAGGUGGUUUGGGGGGUCUGUGGUCCGGCCUGCCAGGUCUCCGAGGUGUCACGGUGGGCAAGGGCUUGGUGGGCUGAGGGUGCCCAUCCGCGGUACCGUACAGCUGCUGUAUGCCCUUCAGGUCAUCCUCAGGGAGCUGGAAGUUCUCCGUGUCCAUCCACUGGUAGAAGGGGGCCAUGAUAGCACUGGGGUUGCUAGAGUGCUCCAGGCCCAGCGAGUGCCCCAGCUC
rnacentral:lncRNA from 1 species